GGGAGUGGGCGCAUGAUCGCUGGCGGCAAUUGCCGCCAGAGGAAAGUCCGGACUCCGCAGGGCAGGGAGGUUCGUAACACGAACUGGGGGCGACCCCGAGGAAAGUGCCACAGAAAACAAACCGCCGGGCAACCGGUAAGGGUGAAAAGGUGGGGUAAGAAACCCCUCCUGGAGCAAAACCAAAUAGGGAAGCGUUUGAGGGCGGCCCGCCCGAAGCUUCCGGGUAGGUUGCAAGAGAUGCCGGGCAACCGGCAUCCACAGAGAAAUGAUCAUGGCCCCUGCAAAGGGGUACAGAAUCCGGCUUACAGCCCACUCCCUUUU
rnacentral:RNase_P_RNA from 1 species